UUUUCACUUUCUGACUCUGCC
rnacentral:siRNA from 1 species